rnacentral:lncRNA from 1 species
AAUAGAAAUUCCAGAAUGAAAGGUUUUAUGAGGCUGGGUGACUCAGUCACCCCGCGCGAGUGCUAACCGGUUAACAUAAUACUGGAAAGCUUUACAAAAGGCAUCCAUGCAGAAAUAUGCAAAAGGACCUAUGCAGUUUGAAAAUAUAUAUGGAAGGAGUUCAGCAGCUGAAAUAUUGCAAUAGAAGAAAUGUACGUAAGAUCCAGCUCUUUGUCAUGUAAAUUUAAAAUUAAUUAUUUUAGCUUAAAUUCCACAUUAUAAGAAUUUGGCUCUGAAGUAUUUAUAAUUUAAGCUCAUAACGAGAUCCUUAAAGACAUCUAUUCUAUGUACUUAAAUUAUGGCAGAGGAAAAUGUAUCUCAUUUAUUUUUUAACCAGUUAUUUUAUGCUAAUAAAUGUUCCUAACCUCUU